CAGUAGCCACGGUAAUACGAGGGGGGCAAGCGUUGUUCGGAAUUAUUGGGCGUAAAGGGUGCGUAGGCGGUUUGGCAAGUUUGGUGUGAAAUCUUCGGGCUCAACUCGAAGUCUGCAUCGAAAACUGCCGGGCUUGAGUAUGGGAGAGGUGAGUGGAAUUUCCGGUGUAGCGGUGAAAUGCGUAGAUAUCGGAAGGAACACCUGUGGCGAAAGCGGCUCACUGGACCAUUACUGACGCUGAGGCGCGAAAGCUAGGGGAGCAAACAGGAUUAGAUACCCCCGUAGUCCCUGUCUCUUAUAU
rnacentral:rRNA from 1 species